rnacentral:rRNA from 1 species
UUAAGCGACUAAGCGUACACGGUGGAUGCCCUGGCAGUCAGAGGCGAUGAAGGACGUGCUAAUCUGCGAUAAGCGUCGGUAAGGUGAUAUGAACCGUUAUAACCGGCGAUUUCCGAAUGGGGAAACCCAGUGUGUUUCGACACACUAUCAUUAACUGAAUCCAUAGGUUAAUGAGGCGAACCGGGGGAACUGAAACAUCUAAGUACCCCGAGGAAAAGAAAUCAACCGAGAUUCCCCCAGUAGCGGCGAGCGAACGGGGAGCAGCCCAGAGCCUGAAUCAGUGUGUGUGUUAGUGGAAGCGUCUGGAAAGGCGCGCGAUACAGGGUGACAGCCCCGUACACAAAAAUGCACAUGCUGUGAGCUCGAUGAGUAGGGCGGGACACGUGGUAUCCUGUCUGAAUAUGGGGGGACCAUCCUCCAAGGCUAAAUACUCCUGACUGACCGAUAGUGAACCAGUACCGUGAGGGAAAGGCGAAAAGAACCCCGGCGAGGGGAGUGAAAAAGAACCUGAAACCGUGUACGUACAAGCAGUGGGAGCACGCUUAGGCGUGUGACUGCGUACCUUUUGUAUAAUGGGUCAGCGACUUAUAUUCUGUAGCAAGGUUAACCGAAUAGGGGAGCCGAAGGGAAACCGAGUCUUAACUGGGCGUUAAGUUGCAGGGUAUAGACCCGAAACCCGGUGAUCUAGCCAUGGGCAGGUUGAAGGUUGGGUAACACUAACUGGAGGACCGAACCGACUAAUGUUGAAAAAUUAGCGGAUGACUUGUGGCUGGGGGUGAAAGGCCAAUCAAACCGGGAGAUAGCUGGUUCUCCCCGAAAGCUAUUUAGGUAGCGCCUCGUGAAUUCAUCUCCGGGGGUAGAGCACUGUUUCGGCAAGGGGGUCAUCCCGACUUACCAACCCGAUGCAAACUGCGAAUACCGGAGAAUGUUAUCACGGGAGACACACGGCGGGUGCUAACGUCCGUCGUGAAGAGGGAAACAACCCAGACCGCCAGCUAAGGUCCCAAAGUCAUGGUUAAGUGGGAAACGAUGUGGGAAGGCCCAGACAGCCAGGAUGUUGGCUUAGAAGCAGCCAUCAUUUAAAGAAAGCGUAAUAGCUCACUGGUCGAGUCGGCCUGCGCGGAAGAUGUAACGGGGCUAAACCAUGCACCGAAGCUGCGGCAGCGACNGAAGGUGUGCUGUGAGGCAUGCUGGAGGUAUCAGAAGUGCGAAUGCUGACAUAAGUAACGAUAAAGCGGGUGAAAAGCCCGCUCGCCGGAAGACCAAGGGUUCCUGUCCAACGUUAAUCGGGGCAGGGUGAGUCGACCCCUAAGGCGAGGCCGAAAGGCGUAGUCGAUGGGAAACAGGUUAAUAUUCCUGUACUUGGUGUUACUGCGAAGGGGGGACGGAGAAGGCUAUGUUGGCCGGGCGACGGUUGUCCCGGUUUAAGCGUGUAGGCUGGUUUUCCAGGCAAAUCCGGAAAAUCAAGGCUGAGGCGUGAUGACGAGGCACUACGGUGCUGAAGCAACAAAUGCCCUGCUUCCAGGAAAAGCCUCUAAGCAUCAGGUAACAUCAAAUCGUACCCCAAACCGACACAGGUGGUCAGGUAGAGAAUACCAAGGCGCUUGAGAGAACUCGGGUGAAGGAACUAGGCAAAAUGGUGCCGUAACUUCGGGAGAAGGCACGCUGAUAUGUAGGUGAGGUCCCUCGCGGAUGGAGCUGAAAUCAGUCGAAGAUACCAGCUGGCUGCAACUGUUUAUUAAAAACACAGCACUGUGCAAACACGAAAGUGGACGUAUACGGUGUGACGCCUGCCCGGUGCCGGAAGGUUAAUUGAUGGGGUUAGCGCAAGCGAAGCUCUUGAUCGAAGCCCCGGUAAACGGCGGCCGUAACUAUAACGGUCCUAAGGUAGCGAAAUUCCUUGUCGGGUAAGUUCCGACCUGCACGAAUGGCGUAAUGAUGGCCAGGCUGUCUCCACCCGAGACUCAGUGAAAUUGAACUCGCUGUGAAGAUGCAGUGUACCCGCGGCAAGACGGAAAGACCCCGUGAACCUUUACUAUAGCUUGACACUGAACAUUGAGCCUUGAUGUGUAGGAUAGGUGGGAGGCUUUGAAGUGUGGACGCCAGUCUGCAUGGAGCCGACCUUGAAAUACCACCCUUUAAUGUUUGAUGUUCUAACGUUGACCCGUAAUCCGGGUUGCGGACAGUGUCUGGUGGGUAGUUUGACUGGGGCGGUCUCCUCCUAAAGAGUAACGGAGGAGCACGAAGGUUGGCUAAUCCUGGUCGGACAUCAGGAGGUUAGUGCAAUGGCAUAAGCCAGCUUGACUGCGAGCGUGACGGCGCGAGCAGGUGCGAAAGCAGGUCAUAGUGAUCCGGUGGUUCUGAAUGGAAGGGCCAUCGCUCAACGGAUAAAAGGUACUCCGGGGAUAACAGGCUGAUACCGCCCAAGAGUUCAUAUCGACGGCGGUGUUUGGCACCUCGAUGUCGGCUCAUCACAUCCUGGGGCUGAAGUAGGUCCCAAGGGUAUGGCUGUUCGCCAUUUAAAGUGGUACGCGAGCUGGGUUUAGAACGUCGUGAGACAGUUCGGUCCCUAUCUGCCGUGGGCGCUGGAGAACUGAGGGGGGCUGCUCCUAGUACGAGAGGACCGGAGUGGACGCAUCACUGGUGUUCGGGUUGUCAUGCCAAUGGCACUGCCCGGUAGCUAAAUGCGGAAGAGAUAAGUGCUGAAAGCAUCUAAGCACGAAACUUGCCCCGAGAUGAGUUCUCCCUGACCCUUUAAGGGUCCUGAAGGAACGUUGAAGACGACGACGUUGAUAGGCCGGGUGUGUAAGCGCAGCGAUGCGUUGAGCUAACCGGUACUAAUGAACCGUGAGGCUUAACCUU